rnacentral:lncRNA from 1 species
CUGCUCUCAAAAUAUUUUUGAGAGCUAAGCAGGAUUCAAAAUUAUUAUCUUUUUUUGAGGAUAAAACAACUAGGAGUGUCUUUCCCCCUUCUCCACUCAGGAAAUUCCUCUUAAUUCCUUACAAUUCAGCUCAUUGUUAAGGACCUCUGGGAUGCAUUGUCAAAUUCCCCUACACAAUCUUCUGAAAGGAAUGAGUCUCUUUCCUGUGUGCUCCCACGACAUUUGGCAUACUCCUCAGUGGCAGUGCUGUCCGGUGGGGUGCUAAUUAUUUGCUUUUCAAGGCUAUUUCCUCAAACUGUGCUUCUCUCCAGAGCAGGGGUCAGGUUUCCUUUAUCUUCGUAGGCUCUUCCCCUCCUCACCCACCUACCUUUACCUCCCUACCUCCAAGUCUAGUUUUAAAGCCUGGCAUAUCAAAGGUACUGAAAGAACAGGAGAAAGAAAUAAAAGAAGGAAAGUUAAGUAGCUUACCCAAAGUCACACAGAAAGUCAGCAUCAGAGUUCUGACAUUUACUGCAGCACUCAAUUCUAAACUAGGCUGUCAUCAGGCUGAUUUGAUGGUUCACAAAGAGUGAUAUAUUUUUAAGAAUGAUUUUACUACUAAAGAAAUGAAGAACAUACAGCCCAGGCCAGUAACUUUUUAAGUAUGAUUAGAUGAUGGCUUAUGGGCUCCAUCUAAGCUUUAAAUCAGGAUCAUUUUCAGGUCUAAUGGAAAUUACAUGGUGGCUUUGGCUUCACAGGGAAGGAACUUGGAGCUAAUCAGCCUCGGGAAUGCCACCAUCUGAGAUGCCAGGGCAAAAACAAAGAAAUGCCAUCGAUUAAGAGUCUCCAUCAAGAAAGUUCCAAGGCUGCGAGGCUGCUGAGAUGAGAUGGGACUGGAAUCCUAGCCACAGGCUUAAUUGCUUUGCAAGAAGCCACAGCUGUUGCUGCAGGGAAGCGCAGGCAAAAUCUUGUUUUCUUACUUUCAACUUUCUGCUGACCUUGUUAGAGAUUGCUUCUGAACUGCCUGAUGCCCAUGCCUAUCUCGAAUGGUAUUUCUUCAGUGUCUCGUGUCUUCUCUUUGCUUUUCCUUCUAUGCCCAGCACUUAAUGUAGUGCCCGAAAUGUAAUACUCACUUGAGAAAUACCUGUUUGAUUAAUUAAGCACAAGAAGAAGAGUUUUAAUACCAAAUGACAGUUCCCUGUCACCCAAGAGCAGUACCCCUUUACUUUUUGAACCAAGAUUCCUCUUAGUCCUUUCACUAGAAUAUAGGAACAUGAAGAAAGGAGAAAUAGCAUAAAAAACAUUGGAAUUUUCUUCAGUCUAUGACUGUGUCUGCAUCAAAAUUUUCCACCCAUAUUCCAUGACCAAAUCAACUGUUUUUGAGACUUCUUUCUUUUCCUCUUGUAAAUGACAAGCAAUCCUUGAAUAACAAAUGACUUAUCCCACAUUUGUAAACUCUC